rnacentral:rRNA from 1 species
ACUCAAAUGAAUUGACGGGGGAGCGCACAACCGGUGGAGCAUGUGGUUUAAUUCGAUACAAAGCGAAAAACCUUACCCGGAUUUGACAUGUACCUGCACGGUUAUGGAAACAUAGCCUUCUUCGAGAGUGGUACACAGGUGAUGCAUGGCUGUCGUCAGCUCGUGUCGUGAGACGUCUCUUUAAGUAGAGUAACGAGCGCAACCCUUGCCGUAUGUUAUAUUUGUCAUACGGGACUGCCCCGAUUUUUAUCGGGGAGGAAGGAGAGGAUGAUGUCAAGUCAGCAUGUCCCUUACAUCCGGGGCGACACACAUCCUACAAUGGAGCCGACAACAGGUAGCAAUGGGGUAACCCUGAGCCAAUCCUUAAACGGCCCCUCAGUUCGGAUUGAGGGCUGCAACUCGCCCUCAUGAAGCCGGAAUCGGUAGUAAUCGCAAAUCAUCAGGUUGCGGUGAAUUCGUUCUCGCUCCUUGUACACACCGCCCGU